GACGAACGCUGGCGGCGUGCUUAACACAUGCAAGUCGAACGGAAAGGCCCUGCUUUUGUGGGGUGCUCGAGUGGCGAACGGGUGAGUAACACGUGAGUAACCUGCCCUUGACUUUGGGAUAACUUCAUGAAACUGGGGCUAAUACCGGAUAGGAGCUCCUGCUUCAUGGUGGGGGUUGGAAAGUUUCGGCGGUUGGGGAUGGACUCGCGGCUUAUCAGCUUGUUGGUGGGGUAGUGGCUUACCAAGGCUUUGACGGGUAGCCGGCCUGAGAGGGUGACCGGACACAUUGGGACUGAGAUAAGGCCCAGACUCCUACGGGAGGCAGCAGUGGGGAAUAUUGCACAAUGGGCGGAAGCCUGAUGCAGCAACGCCGCGUGCGGGAUGACGGCCUUCGGGUUGUAAACCGCUUUCGCCUGUGACGAAGCGUGAGUGACGGUAAUGGGUAAAGAAGCACCGGCUAACUACGUG
rnacentral:rRNA from 1 species